GAUAAGUAAUGUGAAUUGCAGAAUUCAGUGAAUCAUCGAAUCUUUGAACGCAACUUGCGCUCCUUGGUAUUCCAAGGAGCAUGCCUGUUUGAGUGUCGCGAAAUAUACUUCAGAAAUGAGAGUUGGGUGACUGCUCUUUAUUGGGCUGACCUGAAAUGUAUAGAAGCAAGUUGGACGCUAAAGUUGAGGCCCAACUUUGCAAAGACACCUUUGACCUCAAAUCAGGUAGGACUACCCGCUGAACUUAAGCAUAUCAAUAAGCGGAGGAAAAGAAACUAACGAGGAUUCCCUUAGUAACGGCGAGUGAAGAGGGAUAAGCUCAAAUUUGAAAUCUGGCUUUUAGCCCGAGUUGUAGUUUCGAGAAGCGUUUUCUGCGCCACACUGUGUACAAGUCUCUUGGAAUGGAGCCUCAUAGAGGGUGAGAAGCCCGUCUACGACACAGAAGUGAAGUGUGUGCUUUGUGAUGCGCUCUCAAAGAGUCGAGUUGUUUGGGAAUGCAGCUCAAAAUGGGUGGUAAAUUCCAUCUAAAGCUAAAUACAGGCGAGAGACCGAUAGCGAACAAGUACCGUGAGGGAAAGAUGAAAAGCACUUUGAAAAGAGAGUCAAACAGUACGUGAAAUUGUUGAAAGGGAAACGCUUGAAGUCAGUCGCGUGACUUGAGAUUCAGCUCUUUAAGAGUGUAUUUCUCUUGUUGACGGGCCAGGAUGAAUUUUGACUUGUGGAGAAAGGUUAAGAGGAAGGUGGCACUCCUUUGGGAGUGUGUUAUAGCUUCUUAAUCAGACAACAUGAGUUAAGAUUGAGGAUAGCAGCAUGGGCUUUUUAAAGUCCAACGGGGUUCGCCCACGUUUUUAAUGCUUAGGAUACUGGCGUAAUGGCUUUAAGCGACCCGUCUUGAAACACGGACCAAGGAGUCUAACAGGCUCGCGAGUAGUUGAGUGUUUAAAACUCAAGUGCGGAAUGAAAGUGAAAGUAGUUGGGACCUCUGUCGUGGAGGGCACCGACGCCCAGACCAGAGCCAUUUGGUGACGGAUCUGAGGUAGAGCGAGUCUGUUGGGACCCGAAAGAUGGUGAACUAUGCCUGAAUAGGGUGAAGCCAGAGGAAACUCUGGUGGAAGCUCGUAGCGAUUCUGACGUGCAAAUCGAUCGUCAAAUUUGGGUAUAGGGGCGAAAGACUAAUCGAACCAUCUAGUAGCUGGUUCCUGCCGAAGUUUCCCUCAGGAUAGCAGAAGCUCGUUDUCAGAUUUAUGUGGUAAAGCGAAUGAUUAGAGGCCUUGGGGUUGAAAUGACCUUAACCUAUUCUCAAACUUUAAAUAUGUAAGAACAAGUUGUCACUUGAUUUGGACAGCUUGGUGAAUGGGAGCUCUAGUGGGCAUUUUUGGUAAGCAGAACUGGCGAUGCGGGAUGAACCGAUCGCGGGGUUAAGGUGCCGGAAUGCACGCUCAUCAGACACCACAAAAGGUGUUAGUUCAUCUAGACAGCAGGACGGUGGCCAUGGAAGUUGGAAUCCGCUAAGGAGUGUGUACAACUCACCUGCCGAAUGAACUAGCCCUGAAAAGGAUGGCGCUCAACGUGUUAACCAUACCCCGCUGUCAGUGUUGAAGUGAACACUGACAAGUAGGCAGGCGUUGAGGUCCUUUUAUCAGAAGCCUUGGCARUAAUGCUGGGUGGAACGGCCUCUAGUGC
rnacentral:rRNA from 1 species